UGGGGAAUUUUUGGCAAUGGGGGAAACCCUGACCAAGCAACGCCGCGUGGGUGAUGAAGUCUCUUGGGACGUAAAACCCUUUCGACAGGGAAGAAACCCGCAAGGGUUGACGGUACCUGUAGAAGAAGCCCCGGCUAACUCCGUGCCAGCAGCCGCGGUAAUACGGGGGGGGCAAGCGUUGUUCGGAAUUACUGGGCGUAAAGGGUGCGCAGGCGGUUUGCUAAGUUGGAUGUGAAAACUCUGGGCUUAACCCAGAGCCUGCAUUCAAAACUGACAAGCUAGAGUUCUGGAGGGGGUAGCGGAAUUCCUGGUGUAGCGGUGAAAUGCGUAGAUAUCAGGAGGAACACCGGUGGCGAAGGCGGCUACCUGGACAGAAACUGACGCUCAUGCACGAAAGCUAGGGGAGCAAACAGG
rnacentral:rRNA from 1 species